GUUUACCAAAAACAUGGCUUCUUGUGAUGAAAUAAAUAAGGAGUCGGACCUGCCCAGUGAAUUUUUUUAACGGCCGCGGUACUCUGACCGUGCAAAGGUAGCAUAAUCAUUUGCCUUAUAAUUGAAGGCUAGUAUGAAUGGUUUGACAAGAAUAUAGCUGUCUCUUUAUAAUUUUGUAGAACUUUAUUUUAAAGUGAAGAAGCUUUAAUAUGAUUAAUAGACAAGAAGACCCUAUCGAGCUUUAAAGAAAUCUUUAGAAAUUAAUUAAUAAUUGAUUUUAAAAAAUUAGCUAUUGAAUAUUUUGGUUGGGGCGACUAAGGAACAAGUAAAGCUUCCUUUAAUAAAAAUAACACUCAUGUAUUGAUCCAAAAUUUUUGAUUAAAGAAAUUAGUUACCGUAGGGAUAACAGCAUUAUCUUUUUUGAGAGCUCUUAUCGAAAAAAAGGUUUGUGACCUCGAUGUUGGACCAGAAUAUCCUAAAGAUGCAGAAGUCUUUAAGGGUUGGUCUGUUCGACCAUUAAAAUUCUACGUGAUCUGAGUUCAGACCGG
rnacentral:rRNA from 1 species